CUGGGUAUACGCAGCUGCGUAA
rnacentral:miRNA from 1 species